rnacentral:rRNA from 1 species
UACGGGGGGGGGUAAGCGUUGUUCGGAAUUACUGGGCGUAAAGGGCUCGUAGGCGGCCAACUAAGUCAUACGUGAAAUCCCUCAGCUUAACUGGGGAACUGCGUGUGAUACUGGAUGGCUUGGAUUUGGGAGAGGGAUGCGGAAUUCCAGGUGUAGCGGUGAAAUGCGUAGAUAUCUGGAGGAACACCGGUGGCGAAGGCGGUUCUCUGGGCCUUACCUGACGCUGAGGAGCGAAAGCGUGGGGAGCAAACAGG